AGGAGUGUAGCUCAGCUGGUAGAGCAUCAGUCUCCAAAACCGAGGGCCGGGGGUUCGAGUCCCUCCACUCCUGCCA
rnacentral:tRNA from 1 species